rnacentral:rRNA from 1 species
CGAAUGCUGACAUAAGUAACGAUAAAGCGGGUGAAAAGCCCGCUCGCCGGAAGACCAAGGGUUCCUGUCCAACGUUAAUCGGGGCAGGGUGAGUCGACCCCUAAGGCGAGGCCGAAAGGCGUAGUCGAUGGGAAACAGGUUAAUAUUCCUGUACUUGGUGUUACUGCGAAGGGGGGACGGAGAAGGCUAUGUUGGCCGGGCGACGGUUGUCCCGGUUUAAGCGUGUAGGCUGGUUUUCCAGGCAAAUCCGGAAAAUCAAGGCUGAGGCGUGAUGACGAGGCACUACGGUGCUGAAGCAACAAAUGCCCUGCUUCCAGGAAAAGCCUCUAAGCAUCAGGUAACAUCAAAUCGUACCCCAAACCGACACAGGUGGUCAGGUAGAGAAUACCAAGGCGCUUGAGAGAACUCGGGUGAAGGAACUAGGCAAAAUGGUGCCGUAACUUCGGGAGAAGGCACGCUGAUAUGUAGGUGAAGU